UACAGAGGGUGCGAGCGUUAAUCGGAAUUACUGGGCGUAAAGCGCACGUAGGUGGCGACGUAAGUCGGGUGUGAAAGCCCCGGGCUCAACCUGGGAAUUGCAUUCGAGACUGCAUUGCUGGAGUACGGAAGAGGAAGGCGGAAUUCCCGGUGUAGUGGUGAUAUGCGUAGAUAUCGGGAGGAACACCUGUGGCGAAGGCGGCUUUCUGGGCCUUACCUGACGCUGAGACGCGAAAGCGUGGGGAGCGAACCGG
rnacentral:rRNA from 1 species